rnacentral:rRNA from 1 species
UGGGGAAUAUUGCACAAUGGGGAAACCCUGAUGCAGCGACGCCGCGUGGAGGAAGAAGGUCUUCGGAUUGUAAACUCCUGUUGUUGGGGAAGAUAAUGACGGUACCCAACAAGGAAGUGACGGCUAACUACGUGCCAGCAGCCGCGGUAAAACGUAGGUCACAAGCGUUGUCCGGAAUUACUGGGUGUAAAGGGAGCGCAGGCGGGAAGACAAGUUGGAAGUGAAAUCUAUGGGCUCAACCCAUAAACUGCUUUCAAAACUGUUUUCUUGAGUAGUGCAGAGGUAGGCGGAAUUCCCGGUGUAGCGGUGGAAUGCGUAGAUAUCGGGAGGAACACCAGUGGCGAAGGCGGCCUACUGGGCACCAACUGACGCUGAGGCUCGAAAGUGUGGGUAGCAAACAGGAUUAGAUACCCCAGU